rnacentral:rRNA from 1 species
AGAGUUUGAUCAUGGCUCAGGAUGAACGCUGGCGGCGUGCUUAACACAUGCAAGUCGAACGAACCUUCGGGUUAGUGGCGGACGGGUGAGUAACGCGUGGGAAUCUGCCCUCAGGAGGGGGAUAACGGUUGGAAACGACCGCUAAUACCCCAUAUGCCGAGAGGUGAAAUGAAUUUCGCCUGAGGAUGAGCCCGCGUCUGAUUAGCUUGUUGGUGAGGUAAUGGCUCGCCAAGGCUUCGAUCAGUAGCUGGUCUGAGAGGAUGAUCAGCCACACUGGGACUGAGACACGGCCCAGACUCCUACGGGAGGCAGCAGUGGGGAAUUUUCCGCAAUGGGCGAAAGCCUGACGGAGCAACGCCGCGUGAGGGACGAAGGCCUCUGGGCUGUAAACCUCUUUUCUCAAGGAAGAAGAUAUGACGGUACUUGAGGAAUAAGCCACGGCUAAUUCCGUGCCAGCAGCCGCGGU